rnacentral:rRNA from 1 species
AGUGAACGCUGGCGGUAGGCCUAACACAUGCAAGUCGAACGGCAGCACAGUAAGAGCUUGCUCUUACGGGUGGCGAGUGGCGGACGGGUGCGGAAUACAUCGGAAUCUACUUUUUCGUGGGGGAUAACGUAGGGACACUUACGCUAAUACCGCAUACGACCUACGGGUGAAAGCAGGGGAUCUUCGGACCUUGCGCGAUUGUAUGAGCCGAUGUCGGAUUAGCUAGUUGGCGGGGUAAAGGCCCACCAAGGCGACGAUCCGUAGCUGGUCUGAGAGGAUGAUCAGCCACACUGGAACUGAGACACGGUCCAGACUCCUACGGGAGGCAGCAGUGGGGAAUAUUGGACAAUGGGCGCAAGCCUGAUCCAGCCAUACCGCGUGGGUGAAGAAGGCCUUCGGGUUGUAAAGCCCUUUUGUUGGGAAAGAAAAGCAGCAGGUUAAUACCCCGCUGUUCUGACGGUACCCAAAGAAUAAGCACCGGCUAACUUCGUG